CCUACGGGAGGCAGCAGUGGGGAAUAUUGCACAAUGGGGGAAACCCUGAUGCAGCAACGCCGCGUGAGUGAAGGAGCGUUUCGGCGCGUAAAGCUCUGUCAGCGGGGAAGAGGAAAGACGGUUCCCGCCCAAGAAGCCCCGGCUAAACACGUGGCAGCAGCCGCGGGAAGACGUAGGGGGCGAGCGUUAGCCGGAAUUACUGGGUGGAAAGGGGGCGUAGACGGCGAGGUAAGGCCGAAGUGGAAGCCCGCGGCCCAACCCCGGAACUGCUUUGGGAACUGUUGGGCUGGAGUAUGGGAGGGGUAAGCGGAAUUCCUGGUGUAGCGGUGAAAUGCGUAGAUAUCAGGAGGAACACCAGUGGCGAAGGCGGCCUACUGGACCAUAACUGACGGUGAGGCGCGAAAGCGUGGGGAGCGAACAGGAUUAGAUACCCCAGUAGUC
rnacentral:rRNA from 1 species